GAUCCCGUGGUCCAAGGGCAAAGACGCCUGCGUGACAAGCAGGAGAGUGACGGUUCGAGUCCGUCCGGGAUCA
rnacentral:tRNA from 2 species